CAGACAUCCUGUGAAAUUGUUCUAAUUUCUCAUUUUAUUCAUUAAUGUGGUGAAAAAAGACUUACUGGAAUUUUUGGGAUGCAUUCUUCAGCGUCUCAACAUCGGUUUCAGCACCUGCUGGAUCCACAACAAAAAUUUGUUUGGACAGAACAUGCAGAUGUGGCAUCUUUGUCCAUGAUAAGAUUCUCCAAAAAGGUGAGACUUUUUGCCACACUCUUGCUGGCAUGUUUUGCAAGCAAAACCAUACACAGGUGCCUAAAAAUAGCAAGAGCUUCAUCAAGGGAGACAGAAUUUUGCAACCUGGCAAAAACAUAGGUAGCAAAUUUUUCCAGACCCUCAUCUGCUGUCUUUUUUUUUUUAAAUGUGGAUGAUACAGAUUUGAUAACGUGGGCUGAACACAGGUGUAACAAUAUCAUCCCAGGUUUUUUGGUUUUGGCAGAUGGCAAAGGCUUUUUCCAGAUAUGCAGGCACACUUUCUUUAUUGAAGGCUAAAAGUACUGCCUGCAUAAUAGCCCAGCUGUGGUCAGUCUCAAUCUGAUGAAUGUUGGUGCUUUUUUUACUGCAUCAACCAGAAUGUGAUCGGUGGAAUGGAAUGUUCACUAGAAAGCAUUUCACAGACUGGCAGUGGUGGAGCAUCUCUUCCUUCACCUGGCAAGGUUAGUGUGUAGUAUAGGAUUUUUUUUUUAUGUGGAAUUUGUGAAAUCACACUUCCUGUUGCAUCUAAGUAAAGUGCAAUUGGGGAUUUUUGUUUUAACCUGUUAACCAAUAUGCUGAUUCCUGUCUCCGUGUACAAAAGGAUCCACUUGGAAAUGCUGGACAUAUCCUGGUGUACAAUAGGAUGCAGUGUCACACUCUCUUAUUAUUGACUGUGUUAGCUGUGUCUCAAGCAGAAUGUUGUCAUGAAGUUGUAUGGCUUUUUUAAUUUCAUGUCAAAUCACUUUGAGGAUGUUUUUAUUGAGGCUAUGAGUGAUGUUAACAGGAAUCAGUUCUUCAGCAGGUGUGUUUUUAAGUCAUAGUACUCUGUGCUCACUCCUCGAAGCACACCUUUUGCAAUUCUCCCCCUUCUGACAUUACUGGCAGGUUGCAAGAGUUUAUCUGUUUUUUGAUGCAAAAUCUGGCCAGCACAGCAUACAGUCACAGGUAUGACUGCUUGAUAUUUUGAUGGUUUAUUUUUCAUUGUAAAUGAAAACCUUGCACAACAGCUUGGAAAAACACAUCUAGCACGUACAGAAAGAUAAGCACAAAGAUGCUUUCUGCUCCCUACAGAUCGUACGUGCUGGUAUGUGAAUCGAAGAGGACAGCAUGGAUUUUUCUUCCGAAACUGCUUAUGCAUAUAGUGAGUCCAUGGCGGUCUUCGUUUAUUUAAACCUUUAAGGGGUUGAAUUUUCCUCCAAACAGUAGGGUGAAGUAUGAUUUGAAAUUUGGUUGGGAUCUGUGGCAUGUUGCUAUAUGAUUUUUCCCCCUGUUCUGUUUCUGUUUGCCCUGUUUUUUGUCUUUUGUGUUGUCAGUUCAGAGUGAUAGUGGCUCUCACUUGAAGGCAUUUCAGCAAUAUUUUCUAUCACCUGAAAGCUCUCAGACUCUGUGUCUGUCUGUCCACAUCCCUUAAAAAUAAAUGCACCCCCCUCUCCA
ensembl:lncRNA